GUGCACCAGUCGCGAAACCUCCGCAAUACACGAAAGUGUGACGGGGCCAUCCCGAGUGCCGUCCGCUGAGGACGGCUUUUCCCCAGUGUACACAGCUGGGGGAAUAAGGAGAGGGCAAGCCUGGUGUCAGCCGCCGCGGUAAUACCAGCUCUCCGAGUGGUGGGGACGCUUAUUGGGCCUAAAGCAUCCGUAGCCGGCUGGGCAAGUCCUCCGUUAAAUCCAACGAUUCAAUCGUUGGGCUGCGGGGGAUACUGUCCAGCUUGGGGGCGGGUGAGGCCGACGGUAUUCCCGGGGUAGGGGUGAAAUCCUAUAAUCCCGGGAGGACCACCAGUGGCGAAGGCUGUCGGCUAGAACGCGCCCGACGGUGAGGGAUGAAAGCUGGGGGAGCGAACCGGAUUAGAUACCCCUGUAGU
rnacentral:rRNA from 1 species